AGUCCUACGGGACGCAGCAGUGGGGGAUAUUGCACAAUGGGGGGAACCCUGAUGCAGCGACGCCGCGUGGGUGAAGAAGCGCCUCGGCGCGUAAAGCCCUGUCAGCAGGGAAGAAAAUGACGGUACCUGAAGAAGAAGCCCCGGCUAACUACGUGCCAGCAGCCGCGGUAAUACGUAGGGGGCAAGCGUUAUCCGGAUUUACUGGGGGUAAAGGGGGCGCAGACGGUGAUGCAAGCCAGGAGUGAAAGCCCGGGGCCCAACCCCGGGACGGCUCUUGGAACGGCGGGGCUGGAGUGGAGGAGGGG
rnacentral:rRNA from 1 species